rnacentral:lncRNA from 10 species
AGCAGCUUCUUUCCUGAAAUCUUGGGACCAGGUGGAGUUGCAAGAUUGGGAUCUAGUCCUGGCUCUGCACAAUAGCUGUGGAGCCUUGGGAAGCCAUUUGAAUCCUCUGGGUCCCCAGUUCCUGUAGAAUGAGGGCUGGACUUACAUCCAAUGUCCUUUCCAGCUCUGAUACCAGUGGUCUAACCCAAGGAAGCACCAGUCUUAGCCAGAGUGUCUUCUACCCUAAGCUCUCCCCGUGAUACCCUUGAGGUCAGCCAUGGCACUUGGGGGAGCCUGGCACCUGCAUCCAGUCGGCCCACCCUGUCCCUAGGGCUCUGGAAUUGGUGGUGGGCUGGAGGCAGUGCAGACUCUGUAGGGAAAAUUGGGGGGGCAGGCAGCACUCACUGGCUGUUCUGCCCAUCCUUUGUCCCUAGUACGCACCAGAAGGCGUCCAGAAGAUCCUUAUUGGGAAUAAGGCUGAUGAGGAGCAGAAACGGCAGGUGGGAAGAGAGCAAGGGCAGCAGCUGGCGAAGGAGUAUGGCAUGGACUUCUAUGAAACAAGUGCCUGCACCAACCUCAAC